GACGAACGCUGGCGGCGUGCCUAAUACAUGCAAGUAGAACGCACAGUUUAUACCGUAGCUUGCUACACCAUAGACUGUGAGUUGCGAACGGGUGAGUAACGCGUAGGUAACCUGCCUGGUAGCUGCGGAUAACUAUUGGAAACGAUAGCUAAUACCGCAUAAUAUUAAUUAUUGCAUGAUAAUUAAUUGAAAGGUGCAAUUGCACCACUACCAGAUGGACCUGCGUUGUAUUAGCUAGUAGGUGAGGUAAUGGCUCACCUAGGCGACGAUACAUAGCCGACCUGAGAGGGUGAUCGGCCACACUGGGACUGAGACACGGCCCAGACUCCUACGGGAGGCAGCAGUAGGGAAUCUUCGGCAAUGGACGAAAGUCUGACCGAGCAACGCCGCGUGAGGGAAGAAGGUUGUCGGAUCGUAAAGCUCGGUUGUAAGAGAAGAACGGGUGUGAGAGUGGAAAGUUCACACUGUGACGGUAGCUUACCAGAAAGGGACGGCUAACUACGUG
rnacentral:rRNA from 1 species